UAAUAAAUGAUGAAUUAGGUCUGCUUCCUUAGCAAGUUUUCUGUCUGCCGCCGCUGGCAUAGGUUUCUAAGUUCGCUUUUUUAAGUCGUUUGUCUUUUGUGUUUCUUGUUUUUCUUUCUUUAGUUUUCUUCUGUAGUCUGCUUUCAAAAGCCAAAUUGUAUCCUCACAGUUGCUGGUUACCUACUGUUCUGCUGCCACCAGUCUCUCAAAUCUGCAGUCAUGGACACUGAAUUAGCACGGUUAACGCUUAAUGAAUAAGAAGAGGAGAUUUUGCAAUUACAGAUAGAUCCAGAGAUGGAAAAAGGAGGGGAGGAAUAUCUAGUAGUGGGAUGUUUUUUAACAGCUAGUGUUAUUCAUUUUCCAGUCAUAAAAAGUACGAUGGCAAAUUUGUGGCAUCCGAUUUAUGGGGUUCAGAUCCGAGAUCUGGGGACGAAGAGGUAUCUUUUUCAGUUUUUUCAUGCUAUGGAUAUGGAGAGAGUCUUAAAGGGUUCACCAUGGACAUUUAAUAAUCAUCUUUUACUGCUCUAUAAUUUGAAAAGAGGGGAAAACCCAUUAGAGGUCCCACUAAUAUUUUCCCCUUUUUGGGUGCAAAUCCAUGACGUUCCAAUUGGUAUGUUUUCUGAAAAUUUAGCAAUUCAGUUUGGUAAUUUUAUAGGGACUUUCCUGGAAUAUGAUGGAUCAAAUCUAGGAAAAGAAAAUCAAAAUUUCAUGAGAUUGCGAGUUCAGGUCGAUGUCAGGCGCCCAUUGAAGAGGAAAAAACAGAUCAUGGUCUAUGGACGGUGUUCAUAAGUUAAAUUCAGAUAUGAACGUCUAUCACUUUUUUGUUUUUAUUGUGGACGGCCAGGGCAUAGUGACUUUUUGUGAAGCAAGAAUGAUUGGAAAGGAGAGAACAUGGGACAAAUUGGAAAGGGUUGGGAUACAACGUUGGGAUUGAAUUUAAAAGGGGGAACAUCUUCCGUUCGUCAAAAAAGGGAUGGGUUUUGGAAGAAUCAAAUGCAAACUGCUAUGGAUCAUGAUUCGGAGGAUGGCAUCUUAGAAGGUGAGGAAGGGAAAAAAAGACUUCGACACACGCUGAAGAUUUACCAUCCCCAAGUAGUAUUCUUCAUGGAGACAAAACUUCAAAAAAAACAGAUGGAACGAGUUCAGAGAUGUUGUGGAUUCAUGAACGGUAUUGAGGUUAAUUCUAAAGGUUCAAGAGGACGGUUGUGUUUGGCUUGGAAGCAGGAUGUUAAUAUUGUACUUCAAAGCUAUUCCGUACGACAUAUCGAUGUGGUAAUUAUCGAUUCUGAGGCAGGAUACGAAUGGAGGUUAAUGGGUUUUUACGGUUCCCCUUAUGCAUAAGACAGGAAUGAUUCAUGGGCAGUUUUGAAAGGUUUAAAAUCUAAUAUAAACCUUCCUUUGUUUGUUUGUGGAGACUUUAAUGAAAUUUUAUAUGGUUAUGAAAAGAGAGGAGGUUUGCCAAGAAAAGAAUGGAGAAUAGAGCUUUUCCGAAGAUCUUUGAAAGAGUGCACACUGAAUGAUGUAGGAUACAUAGGAAACUGGUUUACUUGGGAGAGGGGCAAUCUUCCAGAGACAAACAUACAAGAACGCUUGGACAAGAGGGUUGCAAAUUAAAAUUGGAUAGAUAUAUUCCAAAGGGUGAAAGUCCAACAUCUGGUUCAUUCUUUUUCAGACCAUUGCCCUCUUUUAAUUAACACAAAAACAAGUGAAGGGAAAUUACAGAAUAAUUCUUUCAAAUUUGAGGCUUGGUGGUUACUGGUGGACUCUUUUAUGGAUCAAGUUAGAGAUUUAUGGGUGCAAUCAGGUGGGGGACUAUUGUAAAAGUUGGAAAGUUUAAAAAUAGAAUUGGAAAAAUGGGCAAGGCAAAUCCAAAUAUAUAGGAAGAAAAAGAAAAAGCUUCUAAUGGAAAAACUAUCGUUGCUGUCUGAAACAGAAAGAGAUGAUGAAAACUUAGCCGAGUUUAUUGAUACAAAAAUUGAUUUUAACUUUGAGAUUGAAAAAGAUGAAUGUUACUGUCACGGACUUAGGAUUCUUGCCUCACAAUCCGUGCGGCCUUAGGCAAUUUCUUACUCCAAAAACGCCCUAGUCAACCUAACUUCCACAAAAGAAAGAUUCAACAAAAUUCUUCCCAAAACACAACUCAAGCGAAAACAACUCAAAGCCAACAAGAUGAAAGAAGAAUGAGACAAGAACAAGCCAAGGAAAAUAAGAACACAAGAGAGAAAAGUUUGAGUGAAUGCUCUCAAGAAUUCUUAUUGCUCAAAACUCAAGUGCUUUACAAUGAGGGAAGAGGCCUCUAUUUAUAGUUGAGCCUCUCCAAAUCCAACGAUACAAAAUCAAGUACAUCAACGGCUAUAAUGAAAGGGUAUCUACCAUCAAAUCUCUAAGAAUAUAAAAUCAUAUCUUCUAAGUUUACCUAUCUUAUCUAAGAUAUGUAAUCUUAUAAAAUAUCUUAUAAAAUUACAUAUCAUAUCUAAGAUCUCUAAGAUUAUAAAAUCAUAUCUUUCAAGAUCAUGUUUCCAUAUUUGUCUAACUUGUAGAUGGGCCUUCAAUCUCUUCAAGCAAUGGGUCAGUCCGAUUGGGCCAAAUGACCUCCUUCCUUCUUGAUGGAUCGCACAGAUGUGUCAUGAUUGCGGGCUCCCAUGCGCAACCCAUGACAUUCUCCCCCACCGAAUCUAGCAACGCCCUCGUCGCGUCCUCCGCAUGGUAUCGAUCUAUCUUGUCUUGGAAUUGCCACAAGGCUUCAGCAGGUUCCCAACUCAUCUCACUAUCCGGGAAUCCCUUUCAUAAGACCAAGUAUUCACGCCGCGAUUGGUAUUACUUACGUCUGACUACACGAUUAGCUUCAAUGUUCUCGACCUCUCGAUCAUAGGUGACUUUUACCCCCAUUGGUGCUCGUUCAGACUUGCUCCAAUUUGGGGCUUCUCUAGCUUCAUGGAAUGGCUUAAGUAUACUCACAUGAAAUACUGGAAUGGCCCCUCAUACCACCGAACGAGUCCUUUGUGUAACCCAUCAUAUCUCAAAAUUAGGUGUAGUUUGGCAAGAACUAGGUCACCAACCUGAAACUGCACAUCCCUUCAAUUUCGAUCCGCCCACUUCUUGUUGCGCUUACUUGAAUUAUAUAGACAAACUCUAACUAGAUCGUUUUGCUCUUGCCAAUCCCUCGCAAAUCGAUAAGCUGCUGGAUUCGAUCCCGCAUAACGAGUUGCAACCACAUUAGGUGUAAGCGACUAUUGCCCCGUCACUAUCUCAAACGGACUCUGGUUUGUUGCCCCACUUCGUUGUAAGUUGUACAAAAACUGGGCCACGUCUAACAACUUUGGCCAAUCCUUUUGUGUCGCACUUACAUAAUGCCGAAGAUACGUCUCCAGCAAUGCAUUCACUCGUUCAGUUUGCCCAUCAGUUUGGGGAUGCAUGCUAGUGGAAAAGUUUAAGUCUGAACCCAUUAACUUGAACAACUCUGUCCAAAAUCGACCCGUAAAUUGCCUAUCUCGAUCACUGAUGAUAGACUGUGGUACUCCCCAAUACUUCACCACAUGCUUAAGGAAUAAGCGAGCUGCCUCCUCAGCGGGACACUCCUUGGUUGCGGGGAUAGAAGUUGCAUACUUCGAAAACCUGUCCACCACAACAAAAAUACUUGCAAAUCCAUCAAAUUUAGGCAAGCCUGUGAUAAAGUCCAUGGACAAGCAUUCCCAUGGGCGCUCCAAAAUGGGCAACGAUUGUAACAAACCAGCAGGGGCUUUCAACUCAACCUUAUUUUGUUGGUAUAUUAAACAAGUUUGAACAUGAGCCUCCACAUCAUCACCCAUGUGAGGCCAAUAAAAUCAAUCCUCCAAUAGAGCCAAGGUACGAUGUAUUCCUGGUUGACCAGCCCAUUUUGAAUCAUGACAUUCCUUCAUGAUUUCCCUUCGUAAAUUCCCAUGUAGAGGCACAUAUAAACAUUGCCCAUGAGUGUAUAGCAAUUCUCUCUCGAACCAAAAUCGCCUCGUCUUUCCAUCUCUAGCAAGCUCCAUCAGAUUUUUGACCGUGGGAUUAUGGGACAGUCCUUGAAUGCACUCUAAUAAGGGACUCAGGUUGGCUUAUCGUUGCAAAUUCCAUUUUUCGGCUAAGUGCAUCGGCCACAAUGUUGGCACUCCCCGACUUGUAUUCAAUGCUAAAAUCAAACUUUGCUAGGAAAACCUGCCAACGAGCCUGCCUGGGGGACAACUUUUUCUGGGUUAAGAAAUAACUAUUUGCAAUAUUAUCAGUGAAUACUACAAACCUGGAACCCAGCAAAUAGUGUCUCCAUGUGCGCAAACAAUGCACCACUGCCGUUAUCUCUUUUUCUUGAAUCGUGUAUCUCUGUUUCGUCUCAUUAAGCUUUCGACUCUCGAAAGCAAUCAGAUGCCCAUCUUGCAUCAACACCCCUCCAAUUGUAUACUCUGAAGCAUCUGUACGUACCUCAUACGCCUUUGAAAAAUUUGGCAAUGCGAGUACAGGUUCGCUUGUCAUCGCUUGCUUCACUUGGUUGAAGGCUUUCUCACACUGAAGGUCCCAAUCCCACACUUUACCCUUUUUCAACAGGUCCGUCAAGGGUGUAGUGAUCUUGGGAUAGCCUUCAAUGAAGCAACGGUAGUAAUUUGCUAAUCCAAAGAAAGACUGCAACUCCGACACCUUGGUUGGUGAUUCCCAAUCGACAAUUGCCCGAACUUUCAUCCAUUCGAAUCGUGCCACCUCCCACAAUAUGGCCUAGAAAUGGCACUUCUCGUUAAGCAAAUGAGCAUUUCUCCUUUUUGACAUAUAGCUUAUUUUCUCGUAGAGUUUGGAACACCUCCCCCAAGUGUCCCACAUGCUCUUCGAACGUCUUACUAUACACCACAAUAUUGUCCAGAUAAACAACCACAAAACGAUCCAAGAAAGGUUGUAAUACCUUAUUAUUAGGGUACAAAAUGUAGUCGGAGCAUUUGUCAACCCGAAUGGAAUCACCAAGAACUCAAAGGUUGUCUUGGGCUCAUCCCCUUUGGCUAUUCUCACUUGGUGGUACCCCGAUCGGAAAUCCAACUUAGUAAACCAUCUCGCGCUACCAAGCUGAUUGAACAAAUCUGCAAUAAGAGGAAUGUGAUACCUAUUUUUUAUAGUGAUUAUGUUUAAGGCCCUGUAGUCGAUGCACAUUCUCAAAGAUCCAUCAUGCUUCUUUUGAAAUAACACAGGUGCACCGAACGGAGCUUUAGAUGGUUCAGAAUUGGGCAACAGCUCAAUCUUGUGGUCUACCUCCCUCUUAGGUCGCAAUCUUUUGGGCAACUCCAUGGGCAUUACAUAUUGAAAUGACUUUAGCAUCCGUUCCACUUCCUUUGGAAUUUCCCCCUCAAAUUUAUCAUCCAUAUUGUCUCUCAAGGUAGCUAGGUAGGAGACUUCAUCUCGACGGACUCCUUUGGCAAAUUGAAUUGCCGACAAGGUUUUUCCCUCCAUGCUUCUCUUCCUUUCCAUUCUCACCAUAUAUCGUUGAUUUGCAUCGGAGAUUGUCAUGUAAUUCUCGGAAGGGUGAAUAUCCACAUUAAGCCUAUCAAGUAAACUUAAUCCAACUACAAAAUUGUAAUCAUCAAGUGGGAUUACCUUAAUGGUCGUUUUGCCCGUCCAUUCGCCAAGUUUGAGUUCCACCCCUUUUGCCACACCCGUUAUGGGAAUGCUUUCUAAAUUCACCGUUUUGAUUCGUCCCGAAUCUUCCUCGAUUCUAAGGCUAAGUUCCUUUGCCAUUUCUUUAGACAUGAAUAAAUCAGACGCACCAGUAUCAACAAGUGCAUUGAAUCUUCUGCCAGCUACGAUAAUGUCCACAAACAUCAACCCAUUGCUUGACUUCUCUUCGACACCUCGUAAUAUCGAAUUGAGGUUUUUGGUGUCAUCUUCGACUUCCUCGCGUGCCUCCAUGGCAUGAAAAGCGGCUUUCUUUGGACAGACACUCAUUCUAUGUGGGCCUUAGCAAAAAAAGCACUUCAUUGGUCAUUUUCAUUGGUCAUUGGUCAGCCUAACUUCCACAAAAGAUGGAUUCGACAGAAUUCUUCCCAAAACAUAACUCAAGCGAAAACAACUCAAAGCCAACAAGAUGAAAGAAUAAUGAGACAAGAUCAGGCCAAUGAAAAUAAAAACACAAGAGAGAAAAAAGUUUGAGUGAAUGCUCUCAAGAAUUCUUAUUGCUCAAAACUCAAGUACUUUACAAUGAGAGAAGAGACCUCUAUUUAUAGUUGAGCCUCUCCAAAUCCAACGGUACAAAAUCAAAUAUAUCAACGGCUAUGAUUAAAAGGUAUCUACAAUUAAAUCCCUAAGAAUAUAAAAUCAUAUCUUUUAAGAUUACCUAUCUUAUCUAAGAUAUGUAAUCUUAUAAAAUAAUAUAUUAUAAGAUUACAUAUCAUAUCUAAGGUCUCUAAGAUUAUAAAAUCAUAUCUUCCAAAAUCAUGUUUCCAUAUUUGUCUAACUUGUAGAUAGUCCUUCAAUCUCUUCAAGCGACGGGUCAAUCCGAUUGGGCCAAAUAACCUCCUUCCUGAUGGAUCGCAUAGAUGUGUCAUGGUUGUGGGCUCCCUUGCGCAACCCAUGACAUUGGGAGCAAAAGGCAAUGAUUAAUUGGCUGAAAUACGAAGAUAAGAUUACAAAUUUCAUUCAUAAAUUGAAAACUGAAGAUGGACGAGAAAUGGAAGAAUUGAAGGAAAUGGAGGUGGUUGCGCCGGUUGUAGUUUCAAAAAUUGUUUUCGAAAGGAACGAGAGGGAACUUUGACCAUUUGUUAUCAGGGAUCAAUAGAUGCAUAACUGAUGAAGAUAAUCAUAGACUCACGGCGCCCUAUACUAGGGAGGAAAUUUGAGAAGCACUUUUUGAAAUGGGACCUACAAAGGCACCUGGGGAUUAUGGCUUUCCGGCAAUAUUCUACCAAAAAUGCUGGCACAUUAUUGGCGAAGACAUGAUUUUCUUUUGUUUAACCCGUUUGAAUGGAGACAUGAAGGUUAAUUCUAUAAAUUCCACAAAUAUAGUGCUUAUUCCAAAAAGUGCUAGUCCUUCAAAUAUGACACUUUAGACCGAUUAGUCUACGUAAUUUGGUAUACAAAGUAUUGGCAAAGAACAUGGCGAACAGAUUACGAGUAAUUGAAAAAUGUUUUGAUUGCGCACAGAGUGCUUUUGUACUGGGAAGACUAUUAUCAGAUAAUGUGUUAUUAGCCUAUGAGAUACUACACGCGCUCAAGCAAAAGAGAUUUGGAAAAAAAAGGGUUUAUGACAGUUAAACUCGAUAUGAGCAAGGCAUACGAUAGAGUGGAGUGGGAUUUUUUUAAGGAAGUGAUGUUUAGAAUGGGAUUCAACAAAAAAUGGACUGAUGCAAUCAUAAAAUGUAUAUCUACGGUCUUUUAUUCUGUGGUUAUUAAUAGCCAUAUCAAAGAGAAAUUUAGACUUAUUAGAGGACUUCGACAAGGUGACCUGUUAAGCCCAUUUUUGUUUCUUAUUUGUGGAGAGGGUUUAUCAAGCCUAAUUAGACUAGCUUUGAAUGAGGGAUUUUUCAAAGGAGUCAAGAUUAGCAAGAGAGGUCCACAGGUAACUCAUCUCUUAUUUGCGAAUGAUACAUAUUAUUUGGGUAAGCAACAAGCAGGGGGGCUAAUUUAUUCAAAGAAAUUUUAUGCGAAUAUAGAUCUUGUUCAGGCCAAAGGGUAAAUUUUGAAAAAUCAACAGUAUUUUUUAGUAGAAACACAGAGGAAGAGGACAGAAGAAUGGACCUUAGCGUUAAUUAGGGCUGCCGAAUAUGGUUGGAAGGAAAAAGGAGUCUUUCCAGAAUCUGAAGGACAAAAUUAAAAAACGCAUAGACAAUUGGAGCAACAGAUCCUUAUCGCAGGGAGAAAAAGAAGUAUUUAUAAAGGACAUAUUACAAGUCAUACAUACUUAUUCGAUGGCCUGCUUUCUAUUACCAAAAACUUUAUGUGAUGAAUUCGAAAAUAUUAUAGCGAAUUUUUGGUGGCAGAAACAUAAAGGGAAAAGGGGAAUUCACUGGUGUGCUUGGAAAAAUCUGUGUUAAAAGAAAAUGGGGGUUUAGGGUUUCAAAAUCUGGGUCAAUUCAAUAUUGCAUUAUUAGCCAAACAGGGUUAGCGUCUCAUUAAUUUUCCAAAUUCAUUAUUGGCUAGAGUUAUAAAAGCAAAGUAUUACCCGCAGACAAGUUUCUUAAAUGCUAAGGUGGGAAAUUUACCUUCACUCACCUGGAGAAGCAUAUGGGCAGCUAAGGGUCUUCUUCAAAAUGGACUUUGUUGGAGAGUGGGUAGAGGGGAUAAGGUUUCUAUUUGGAAUGACAGUUGAAUCCCAGGAAUUGCGAAACCUGAACGGCAGAACAGUUCUAAUAAUGAAUUAGUUAUGGUGUCGGAUCUUAUUGACUCCUCAAACAGAAAAUGGAGAACAUAUACGAUCAUGAAUACCUUUCAAGCAGAUGUUGCUCAAAAAAUCCUACAGAUUCCGCUUGCAGAGACAGAACAUGAGGAUUUUCAGGUGUGGAAAGGAGAACAAUCCGGCGAAUACUCAGUACGUAGUGCCUAUAAACUAUUACAAGAAGCUACUAUGGAUCCUAGGAAUCAUUUAAUACAUGCCGAAAUUAAAAAAUUUUACAGAAAGCUUUGGAAUUUACAACUACCCGCAAAAAUCACGAUCAUUAUUUGGAGAAUUUCAUGGGAUUUUAUCCCCCAUCUCGCUAAUCUCAGGUACAGAAGACUCAUUUCAAAUGACAGAUGUCUCCGCUGCCACUCCGGAGUUGAAAACAGUUAGCAUAUAUUUCGUCAAUGCACUGUAACAACGGAUGUUUGGUCACAUCUACAGCUUUCCUGGGUCAUUAAUGAUAUGGCUCAAAACACUUGGGAAUGGCUAACCUGGGUGUUCGCAAAUGGAUCUAACAAACAGUGUCGUCUAUUUUGUUUCACUCUGUGGCUGCUAUGGUCCUUUAGGAAUCAACUAGUUAACGAUCGGAAACUCUUAACAGGAUUAGAUCUCGCAAAAAGAGUGAAGAAACAAAUUGAAGAAUAUGAAGGUGUGCAAGCAGUAAAAGCUCCACCAAACGUUAACAGGAACCAGUGGAAUCAAGAAGACAUAACAGUACAAGCUCCAUCAUACACUAAUAGGACAUAGAGGGAUCAAGAAGACAUACCGAGAUUAUAGAUCCAGUUCGAUGCAGCAUUCGACAAUACAAGUUUUCAGUCAGCGUCGGGUCUGGUGGCUCCGAGCUCGAGGGGAGAACUACUGGUAUCCAAAUCGACUCUUCACAACAAUGUGUCGACACCAUUUGCAGCAGAGGCAUUCGCAUGCCUUGAAGCUUUAAAUCUUGGCAUCUCGAUGGGCAUGCAGUGGGUCAACAUUAUGGGGGACUCCAAAACAACAAUAAAAAAGUUUCAAACAACAACAGCAAACAAAUCCGUCAUUGGAGCAAUCAUCAAAGAUAUCCAGAAUAGGAAAAGAUACUUUCAUGAGAUCCAUUUCCAGCAUAUUCAUAGAUCAGAGAACUCAACAGCCCACAGACUUGCAAAGACUACGCUAGAGAAAAGAGAAACUGUGUACCUGAGGGGAGAAGAUUGGAGAGACUAAGAGAAUGCCUCGGAGGGACGAUGGAGACAAUGGCCCGAUUGAAUAAACUCUGGUGAAGAAAGUAAGUUCAAAAUAGAUAGCAAUUGAUUUCUUAUCUUUCUUGGGAAGUGCUAUCGGCAGAAACGGAUGGGAUGUGAUAAAGGAACGUUGAAUAGUAAUGGGUGCCAGCCGUUCUUCGAUUUGACUGGGUUAGGUUUCUUGUUUUUCAAAUUGCAGAUUCAUUUACUGUCUUUACUUUUCAAGUUAGCUUUUCUUUUAUUAAAUAUUUAGGAGGCCUAUUAGUAUAGACUACAUUGAGGCCGGUUUUAUUUUGAGUUUUGCUGUAAGUUGGUCUGAGCCCAGUUUGUUAUUGGUUUUUUUACUUUUUUAUGAUUACUAAUAAAGUACCC
rnacentral:lncRNA from 1 species